rnacentral:rRNA from 1 species
UACGUAGGGGGCAAGCGUUGUCCGGAUUUAUUGGGCGUAAAGAGCGUGUAGGCGGCCAGGUAGGUCAGCUGUGAAAACUCGAGGCUCAACCUCGAGACGUCGGUUGAAACCACCUGGCUAGAGUCCGGAAGAGGAGAGUGGAAUUCCUGGUGUAGCGGUGAAAUGCGCAGAUAUCAGGAAGAACACCCGUGGCGAAGGCGGCUCUCUGGGACGGUACUGACGCUGAGACGCGAAAGCGUGGGGAGCGAACAGGAUUAGA